rnacentral:rRNA from 1 species
UACGUAGGGAGCAAGCGUUGUUCGGAUUUACUGGGCGUAAAGGGCGCGUAGGCGGCUUGGCUAGUCGGGUGUGAAAACUCCAGGCUCAACCUGGAGACGCCACUCGAUACUGCCAUGGCUAGAGUCCGGUAGGGGAUCACGGAAUUCCUGGUGUAGCGGUGAAAUGCGCAGAUAUCAGGAGGAACACCCGUGGCGAAGGCGGUGGUCUGGGCCGGAACUGACGCUGAGGAGCGAAAGCGUGGGUAGCAAACAGG